UCGAGAAUCUUCGGCAAUGAGCGCAAGCUUGACCGAGCGACGCCGCGUGCGGGAUGAAGGCCUUCGGGUUGUAAACCGCUUUGGUCCGAGAGAAAGGGCAACUUGAUCGAUCGGAGAAACAAGGACGGGCUAAGUUCGUGCCAGCAGCCGCGGUAAGACGAACCGUCCAAACGUUAUUCGGAAUCACUGGGCUUAAAGGGCGCGUAGGCGGCCGAGCGGGUCGCGGGUGAAAUCCUCCAGCUUAACUGGAGAACUGCCCUCGAUACCACUGCGGCUCGAGGAAGGAAGGGGUCAUGGGAACUGUCGGUGGAGCGGUGAAAUGCGUUGAUAUCGACAGGAACGCCUGUGGCGAAAGCGCAUGACUGGUCCUUUUCUGACGCUGAGGCGCGAAAGCCAGGGG
rnacentral:rRNA from 1 species